AGUGAACGCUGGCGGUAGGCCUAACACAUGCAAGUCGAACGGCAGCACAGAGGAGCUUGCUCCUUGGGUGGCGAGUGGCGGACGGGUGAGGAAUACAUCGGAAUCUACUCUGUCGUGGGGGAUAACGGAGGGAAACUUACGCUAAUACCGCAUACGACCUACGGGUGAAAGCAGGGGAUCUUCGGACCUUGCGCGAUUGAAUGAGCCGACGUCGGAUUAGCUAGUUGGCGGGGUAAAGGCCCACCAAGGCGACGAUCCGUAGCUGGUCUGAGAGGAUGAUCAGCCACACUGGAACUGAGACACGGUCCAGACUCCUACGGGAGGCAGCAGUGGGGAAUAUUGGACAAUGGGCGCAAGCCUGAUCCAGCCAUACCGCGUGGGUGAAGAAGGCCUUCGGGUUGUAAAGCCCUUUUGUUGGGAAAGAAAUCCAUCUGGUUAAUACCCGGGUGGGAUGACGGUACCCAAAGAAUAAGCACCGGCUAACUUCGUGCCAGCAGCCGCCGUAA
rnacentral:rRNA from 1 species